UGGGGAAUAUUGCACAAUGGGCGCAAGCCUGAUGCAGCCAUGCCGCGUGUGUGAAGAAGGCCUUCGGGUUGUAAAGCACUUUCAGCGAGGAGGAAGGGUUCAGUGUUAAUAGCACUGUUCAUUGACGUUACUCGCAGAAGAAGCACCGGCUAACUCCGUGCCAGCAGCCGCGGUAAUACGGAGGGUGCAAGCGUUAAUCGGAAUUACUGGGCGUAAAGCGCACGCAGGCGGUUUGUUAAGUCAGAUGUGAAAUCCCCGCGCUUAACGUGGGAACUGCAUUUGAAACUGGCAAGCUAGAGUCUUGUAGAGGGGGGUAGAAUUCCAGGUGUAGCGGUGAAAUGCGUAGAGAUCUGGAGGAAUACCGGUGGCGAAGGCGGCCCCCUGGACAAAGACUGACGCUCAGGUGCGAAAGCGUGGGGAGCAAAACAGGAUUAGAUACC
rnacentral:rRNA from 1 species